rnacentral:rRNA from 1 species
UACGAAGGGGGCUAGCGUUGCUCGGAAUUACUGGGCGUAAAGCGCACGUAGGCGGCUUCUUAAGUCGGUGGUGAAAUCCUGGAGCUCAACUCCAGAACUGCCUUCGAUACUGGGAAGCUCGAGUCCGGGAGAGGUGAGUGGAACUGCGAGUGUAGAGGUGAAAUUCGUAGAUAUUCGCAAGAACACCAGUGGCGAAGACGGCUCACUGGCCCGGUACUGACGCUGAGGUGCGAAAGCGUGGGGAGCAAACAGG